rnacentral:ncRNA from 1 species
CCGCACGCGUCGGGAGAGCGCGCUGGCCGCUAAUCACCGCAGGCCGCGCCGCCGAAGGGGCACACCCGCAAACUCUCAGGCAAAAGGACCGACCGCGUCGAA